UCCCAUUAGCUAGUUGGUAAGGUAACGGCUUACCAAGGCAACGAUGGGUAGGGGUCCUGAGAGGGAGAUCCCCCACACUGGUACUGAGACACGGACCAGACUCCUACGGGAGGCAGCAGUGAGGAAUAUUGGUCAAUGGUCGGAAGACUGAACCAGCCAUGCCGCGUGCAGGAUGACGGCCCUAUGGGUUGUAAACUGCUUUUGUACGGGAAGAAACACCGGUUCGUGAACCGGCUUGACGGUACCGUAAGAAUAAGGAUCGGCUAACUCCGUGCCAGCAGCCGCGGUAAUACGGAGGAUCCAAGCGUUAUCCGGAAUCAUUGGGUUUAAAGGGUCCGUAGGCGGUCUUAUAAGUCAGUGGUGAAAUCUGGUCGCUCAACGAUCAAACUGCCAUUGAUACUGUAGGACUUGAAUUACUGUGAAGUAACUAGAAUAUGUAGUGUAGCGGUGAAAUGCUUAGAGAUUACAUGGAAUACCAAUUGCGAAGGCAGGUUACUAACAGUGGAUUGACGCUGAUGGACGAAAGCGUGGGGAGCGAACAGGAUUAGAUACCCUGGUAGUCCACGCUGUAAACGAUGGAUACUAGUUGUUUGGAUUUAUCUGAGUGACUAAGCGAAAGUGAUAAGUAUCCCACC
rnacentral:rRNA from 1 species